rnacentral:rRNA from 1 species
AACGAACGCUGGCGGCAUGCCUAACACAUGCAAGUCGAACGAGAUCUUCGGGUCUAGUGGCGCACGGGUGCGUAACGCGUGGGAAUCUGCCCAUUGGUUCGGAAUAACAGUUGGAAACGACUGCUAAUACCGGAUGAUGACAAAAGUCCAAAGAUUUAUCGCCAGAGGAUGAGCCCGCGUAGGAUUAGCUAGUUGAUGUGGUAAAGGCGCACCAAGGCGACGAUCCUUAGCUGGUCUGAGAGGAUGAUCAGCCACACUGGGACUGAGACACGGCCCAGACUCCUACGGGAGGCAGCAGUGGGGAAUAUUGGACAAUGGGCGAAAGCCUGAUCCAGCAAUGCCGCGUGAGUGAUGAAGGCCUUAGGGUUGUAAAGCUCUUUUACCCGGGAUGAUAAUGACAGUACCGGGAGAAUAAGCUCCGGCUAACUCCGUGCCAGCCGCCGCGGUAACAC